AGUGGCGCACGGGUGCGUAACGCGUAUACACCUACCUUAUACAGGGGUAUAGCCCAGGGAAACUUGGAUUAACACCCCAUAGUUUGGCAUCAUUAAAACUACGGUGGUAUAAGAUGGGUAUGCGUCCUAUUAGUUAGUUGGUAAGGUAACGGCUUACCAAGACGGCGAUAGGUAGGGGUCCUGAGAGGGAGAUCCCCCACACUGGUACUGAGACACGGACCAGACUCCUACGGGAGGCAGCAGUGAGGAAUAUUGGACAAUGGAGGCAACUCUGAUCCAGCCAUGCCGCGUGCAGGAAGACGGCCUAUGGGUUGUAAACUGCCUUUAUACGGGAAGAACCACAUCUACGUGUAGAUGCUUGACGGUACCGUAUGAAUAAGGACCGGCUAACUCCGUGCCAGCAGCCGCGGUAAUACGGAGGGUCCAAGCGUUAUCCGGAAUCAUUGGGUUUAAAGGGUCCGUAGGCGGGAUAAUAAGUCAGUGGUGAAAGUCUGCAGCUCAACUGUAGAACUGCCAUUGAUACUGUUGUCCUUGAAUUAUUAUGAAGUGGUUGGAAUGAGUAGUGUAGCGGUGAAAUGCAUAGAUAUUACUCAGAACACCUAUUGCGAAGGCAGAUCACUAAUAAUAUAUUGACGCUGAGGGACGAAAGCGUAGGUAGCGAACAGGAUUAGAUACCCUGGUAGUCUACGCCGA
rnacentral:rRNA from 1 species